rnacentral:rRNA from 1 species
GACAGAGGCCUCGAGCGUUAGGCGGAAUCACUGGGCUUAAAGCGUGUGUAGGCGGAUGCCUAAGUACCUUGUGAAAUCCCACGGCUCACCCGUGGAACCGCUGGGUAUACUGGGUGUCUUGGGCCAUUCAGGGGCGACUGGAACAAGCGGUGGAGCGGUGAAAUGCGUAGAUAUCAGAAGGAACAUCAGUGGCGAAGGCGGCUUUCUGGACCAAUACUGACGAUCAGGUGCGAAAGCGUGGGGAGCAAACAGG